UACGUAGGGACCAAGCGUUGUUCGGAUUUACUGGGCGUAAAGGGCGCGUAGGCGGCUUGUCAAGUCACUUGUGAAAUCUCUGGGCUUAACCCAGAACGGCCAAGUGAAACUGACAUGCUAGAGUGCAGAAGGGGCAAUCGGAAUUCUUGGUGUAGCGGUGAAAUGCGCAGAUAUCAGGAGGAACACCAAUGGCGAAGGCAGCACUCUGGGACGUGACUGACGCUGAGACGCGAAAGCGUGGGGAGCAAACAGG
rnacentral:rRNA from 1 species